GCAGUUUUCACAGAGGAGGAAGCAGACUGAUGUUUCAAAUCCAGCACUGCUAUAAGAGUGAAGUGAGCAGCGGAUUCCUGCCGUGGCCUCCUCAACUUUCGCAUCCCCCCCUGAACUCAUGCUAUGAAUAAAUCACAAACAAAGUGACAAAGAGGCUGCUGCAGCUGGCAGAUGCUGAGGGACUGAGGACGAGGAGGAGGCUCUCCGCUGACUUUCAACUGGCCUGUUUGGAGCACAGGAUGCCUCGCCGCUAUCACAGCUGCAGCGUUGGCCUGGCUGGAUGGAACAAUGGAAAAAGACAUAUUUUUCCUGACUGUGCUUGUAUGUGGAAAUAAGUUAAGACAACCCUUCUCAUGGUGUGACACAGUUUAGCACUGUCUUAGCUGAUUGUCCCAUGAGCCAAAUCUGUUUAUACAUGUUUGUGUGCAUAAAAAAAACAUAAAAUAUAUACACACCUAUGUCCAAAGUAGAGUUAUUAGCUGAUAAAACAAUCUCACUUCAACCAUCGGACAUGAUUUACUCACUUUUAUCAACAGCUGUUUCUAUUGUCAAGAACUUUAAAACUCUGUUGCAAUGAUAUGAAUAUUUAAAGUUGAUUAAAUUAGGCAUGUAACAUUGUUUAACUACAUUUGAUCUGAUUUAAAUUCAACAUUUUUAUUUUAAAAACGGCCAUUUUUAACUUAAUAAUGCAAAUUAACACAUGUAUUCAAGCACACAAUUACAGAUCAUUUUUUCCUAAUGCACUCUGUAACCCUUUGUGGUGUGAUUUUCUGCAACAUAUCUUAAAUUAACCUGAAUUUGCGUUUGUGCAUUUAGCAUGAGACUUUUCCAUUUUGGCUCAGUCAUCAGGGUCAGUGGUGUUUUUCAUCACACCCCCCACCUUCACUCUAUCGGUGAGGUGGAUUUACGUUUUGUGCUGAGUAAGCACUUCCCCAGCCACGCCCCGCCAAAUCAAAUGUCGCACCAUCUCCUGGGGUAUUAAUCACACUCACACACACACACACACACACACACACACACACACAAUCAGGCCCAGAAGCAGAAGGAAAAAGAGAGAAAAGGUUACUUGACCGGAGGUUUGUAUUGUGGAAACAUAUAUAAUUGUAAACAUGCUUUCUGACACUCCUCUCUCACACACUCAUACAACAGGUUCAUGUGUUGAGUUUUCUUCCUCUUUGUACUCCUGUGUGUAUGUAUUUUUUGGUAUCUUAAAACCCCUUUUUCUUGUUUUUAUUUGUCUCUCACUGACUCACCAGGAAGUCGAUCAUCACAAACUCAUCCCUGUGAAGCCAAACAUCGUUCAAACCCCAGAACUUUAUCUUAAAUUGAGAUACGAAUAUUUCCAAAGAUAUCAAACAUAUAAGGCUCAGAUUUAGAAAAUGUAGUUUUGAGUUUAAAUCACAUAGCUUUAAUGAAGAGCUGCAACAAGCUGAUGAUAUACAGUAAAUGAUAGUAGAAGAUGAUAUGGAACAAGCUGGACAUCCAAAUAUCAAUACAAAAAAUGUGUUUAAAAAUAUGGGUGAAAUUUAUAUGAGGCCUCAGCAGUCUCCAAAUAUAUCUUCCAAACUUUGUCUUUUUGGUAUAAAAUUAUGUUUAUUUUUGUGACCACUGGAAGGAUAGCAACAAAAUACACUGUUACCUGGUUCUGCUCGAGGUUUCUGCCUCUUAAAAGUUCAUUUUUCCUUGCUACUGUCGCCAACUGCUUGCUCAAGGUGGGACUGGUUGUGUCCCUCUGUAAAUAUUAUAGAGUUGGCUCUAGACCGAGUGGCCUCACUGGUACAACCACAGACUUAGAAUCACCAGCCUCUUCACAUUGUUUUACAUUUCCUCAGUCGAGUCGACAAAAGGAAAUUUCUUCAAAACUGGCUUACAGCUUUUAAAAACCUUCAGUGUGGCGCUGCAUCUGUUGGACCACAGUCGACUGAUAUACGGCUGAUGCUGCGGAUGUGAUGCAGCUCGAUUACAUUUUUAUUACGCAGUUCAUCAACACUACGCUUGCUGUAGUCCGCAGUCUACGACAUGCUGAUCUGGGCUGCACACAACUGUGCAUUAAUGUUUUUAUUAUUAUGACCUUUAGUUUUAGGAGUCCUAGAUCUCUCGCAGCGAGACACUUUUCCAGCCAGACGGGAAGAGAGCUGCAGAGGAAAUCACUGGAUACAGUAUGUAUGAGAGAGGCAGGAGGGUGCAGC